GCUCCAAUAGCGUAUAUUAAAGUUGUUGCGGUUAAAAAGCUCGUAGUUGGAUUUCAGUUCUGGACUGACGGUUCACCGCCGGUGCAUACUGUCACGCUCCGAACAGCCAUAAAGCCGCUGGCUCGCACGGGGUGCUCUUGAUCGAGUGUCCUUGUGGCCGGCAGAGUUUACUUUGAAAAAAUUAGAGUGCUUAAAGCAGG
rnacentral:rRNA from 1 species